UUUUGACCUCGGAUCAGGUAGGGAUACCCGCUGAACUUAAGCAUAUCAAUAAAGCGGAGGA
rnacentral:rRNA from 1 species